AGGUACACGUUACUUGUUCCCGUGGGAUGAAGGGUUUCUGUUUUGUUUUAGGGUGAAAGGGAUUUCAGCCGCUGCACCCAUCUUCUUCAUCCUCUCGUGCGCUCUCGGUCUCCUGGCAAUAUUCGACUUGGGUUCCCUUUUGUCUUCACUCGCUGGAGGCUUUCUUCCUUCUUCCCUUCUUCAACCGUGGCUUCUUCCUAUGACUUCCCUGUUUCCGUGAGCCUCUUUCUUCUUUGUUGUUCACAGUACAUGCAACAAGGGAAGGUAUGUUUUUGAUAUUCAUUUGAUCUACCAUUGGAGCCGUAGAAAGGUUGAUUUGCAUACUACACUUUUGAUCUAUCAUUGUGGCUGCAGAAGGGUGAUCCGAUCAGGUUGUUUUUGCUUUAUAUUUGGUUUAUCUUGCCUCCUAUUGUGAUCAUUUGGCAGUCCAUAUUUUGGGCUCUUAUGUAUCUAUGUUUGUACCCUAUUGGGAAGAUUGACAUAGUGGAUUGCUCCUCCUCCCCGUGGAUGUAGGCACUUGCUGCUAAACCACGUAAAUUUGGUGUCUUUGUGCUUAUCUUUUCAUGCCUGUGAUGUGUUUGAUGGAAUGCCUGAAUGAGACCAAUUGUUAAUUGGUAAGCCGGAUACAGUGAGUUUUGUGCCCAGUAAUCUCAACAAAAACUUUAUUCGUGCAAAGUACAUAUUUUCUCUUUAGAUUUAUUCCAUAAGUUGUUGCUUUUCUCAUGUUAACUACAGGCUUAAGGCUAAGCUUGUUACUUAGAAGAGAAAAAAAAAAAUAUCUGCCAGAUAUGAAGAUAAGAGAUGGAUACCUAGGAACGGAACAUUAAAACCUUCAGACGCUUAAGAAGAGAAAGUUCUUGAAUUUCAGCAGAAACAGUGUGAUAGAGAUGGUCAUGUGUUUGCCAACAACGUAAGUCUUCAGAAGAGCAGCAUAACCUUCCAUCACCCCUUGCAAAGAAAAAUAUUCUAGUGGCUUCAAAGCAUGGUAUACUGGCAUAUCGUACGGAUGGUGUACCGAUACUCGGUAUACCAAAUAGACUCUGUACUGUACUGUACCAUAUCAAUACAGUGAUAGCACCGGUUUGGAACAGCUUCACAUGGAUCAGUGACUAUUAUCUUUCCUUAAGAGCAAAACUAAACAAAACAAUCUAAACUAACACCGGUCCUUACAAGUUACCCUGAAAAAAUCAGGGUAGUGCCCCUAAAACUGAGGCCUAAAUGGGGCUUUCACCCCAAGUCAUGUGGAACAACACCAACCAAUAACUUAACUAGGUGCUGGUUAUUUGUAAGGUUUGGUGUAAAUUUACCAUUUCUCUUUCCCCAACUGCAUCGCUUUGCUUACCUUUGUGUGAGCAUGAAAGAGAGAGAGAUGAUUAUUGGCUAAAAUUUGCUAUUAUCUUUAAACUGAGAUGACUAAAAAAUAUUUCUGUCUGUCUUUUCCAGCAUUUUGCUGGAGUCAUCACUAAUAGGAUAAUGGUUACACUUUUUCCAUUGCGUAACUUGCGAAUUCUCUUAGAUAUUUCAACUAUUGCAAUCUAUUAAGUAUUAAGUAUUAGCUCUCCUGCCCGGUAGCUGUCUCAAUCGGUCGAGCUGUCACGGCCGGGGAAAUGGUUUUAUACGCAAUUUCUCAGUCCUAAAACGAAUCUACGUAUUAACAAGGUGUUUUCUUCUUAAUGUUUUAUCCAGAAAAAUGUUGAAAUUAUUAUGAUUCACAAGUAGCCUGAUGAGGUGGAACUGGAAAACAGGUUUCUUCUGAACCAAAAGCAAAGCCAGUUAUGCCCAAGUCUGAUUCAUCACAACACCUGAAGACAGCUUCUGCCAAAGCUAAAGCCCCAGUCCCUGCUAAAGUUGAUGCCCCAAUGCCUAAAGUUGAUACCAUGCCAGCGCCACCUCCAAAAGUUUGAUACGUGGCUGAUCUUCUUAAUAUGCUCUCAGUGAAAACCCUGAGCGAAAACUGCUCAGAAUCAUCAUCCAAGGAUGAUAAUGCAUGGGCAGAAUUCCAGAGUAGGAUACAUUGCAUUCUUCCAUGUUUCAUAAGAACUGAUAUCAAAUUUUCUCUGUGGCGCGAUCUGUUUCUCAUAGCCAGUUUUCAGAAUGCAACUUCUGAAUAAUAUAUCUACACUUUACCUGCACUGGCAACAACUGCUGCAGACAGAAACACUACCGCAAAGCCAGUCGAAAAUAAAAAAACAGCCUGCAUCAGGAAUUGAAGACCUAGUUAAAGAUUCACCACCUGUGAUUCUAUCUUCAGCUCCAGUGAAACCCCAGAGGAAUGUUAAAAACAUUAUUAUGAACCUCUUUAAUGAACAUGUGGGUAGGAUGCAAGUAUCCAUUGUUGUUAUAGAUACAAAUUAUUCACAGAUUUUGGCAGCUAUUGUUAUCAUUUGAAGAAAAUGAAAAGAUUAUUGGUUAUCAACAAUGUUUCUUCCAUUGUCUGAUUCUAAUGGGCUACCGACACACAUCGGCCCUACCACCUGGUUUUUAGAAAGCUAAGCUUAUGGGGCGUUGCAUAAAAUACAUCCUUCUUAAGAUCAGUGGAACUCAGAUGGUUGCUGUUUUAUAAUCAGCUGAUUCUGCCAACCGGUUAUUCCAUGUGCACUUAUUAUGGUUGUUUUAUAUCUUGGUUAUCAUUUUUGUUGCAGUAGAUCUUCAUAAGUUGUUAUAAGUGCUCUAUCUUCAUUGCAUUGGUGAUUUAUCGCGGUCCUAUAUUGUGUCGCCAUAUUCCAUUCAUCAACAGCAACUCGCCUUCCUUUCCCAGCAGCAGGCUCUUGUCAUGGCUAGCUGCAGCUAAAUCUGGCGGUGUGCCUACAACAUUUCCUGGAAGAACUAAUCAACUGGCUGUUAAUAUAUAGUAGCCUGGCUAAUGGAAAUUUUCCAAUGCAAAACUGGCCAAAUAUCAACUAUCAGAUUCCAGGAAUGACACCAUCAGCUGGUCAGAAGGGUGUGAACAACUUUAGUCAGCAGAUAGGAAGCAUUGGCAGGCACGCCCCUCUGGGAAUUACAGUUAUUUUCCAACAUCUGGGUAGCUUGCUUGUUCACCUUUUGACUAUUUCUUCCUUUUUGCCUGUAUUGAUGCUUCAUUUUAUGGUGGAUAGCAGUACGUACAUGUGCAGACAAAAGGUAUUUUUUAGGUUACUUUAUGUGAAGGUUAUUGCAUUUCUAAGGAUUAUUCUUGUAUGUUAAAGUUUUUUCAAAAAAAUAUAUGCGCUAAUCUAAAGUCGAUCUCUUGAGAGUUCUGAUCAUAUUUCACAUUAUUUAAACACUUUAAAAAUUUUUUGUGGAUGUUGGUUUAUUUUUAAGACUGGUUUCUUUUUGAACUUGCUAACAUAUUUCAAAAUUCAGCACUUCAAGCUGAGGUUCUUAUCCCUCAUAAUUUUGUAUUGUAACUUUCUUGUGAUGUGAAGCAUAAGCAGAAGCUUUUGUAUGCAUAUGAUGCACUUCUUUUGUUUAAGUUUACAUCAUAUAUUUUGCUCGGCAAUGGAUCAUGCAUCUCAAAGGAUGGCAGACUCUCUUUAGUGCGCUCGUCAGUCAACACUGGAGAAAAUAGGAUAAUAGGAGUAAGUCUGAGAUACCGCAGUGGUAGCUAAAUGUUGCAUCGUUCUACAGAAGCUCAGUUUGAAUAACCAAAGUGAACUCAUUCCUUUAUACAUGAAUAAGUCGAUCAAUGUUAAUAAGUAAUCUGAAUGGUAUUUCACAAGAUCAUCUCGAGAAGGUGUUCCACUUUUCCCUCUAGUUCUCUUUCUUUCACAAUUUUGGAUAUUGAAGAGAAUGGGCACCUGCAAUAAAGGGCAGCUUUUGAGUUAUGGAAUCUGCAAGAUGCUUAGGUUGAGGGUGGUAUUAUUGUUUUAUGCUUUAGUCAUUACAUUAAAUAUAUACUCUACUAUAGAUUGGUUAUUGUUCAUUGGCUCAGCUUACAGACAAGAUCCUGAACCAUUUGUAAACCUGCUGCCUAUCAAGUUACUAGCAAUCAACCUCAAACAGUAUUUUGCCACACUGGAAAUAGUUUGUAUUGCUGUGAGUAAUCCUUUUUCCUUCUUCAGAGACAUGCAUCAGUUGUAUCAUAAGAAAUCAUUUUUUCUGUUUCAGAAUGUACACUAUGUGCUCAGCAUCAUCCAUCAUCAACGGUGUAGCCAUUGGUGGAGCAAGUUAGGCCUAUUGUGUAACAAUCCAGGAUCUUAUCUUUGGGUUCUUUAGUCUUGUAUAAGUACCCAAGAUCUUCUCGGCAAAUAACCGGUAUAAGACUAAACACACACCUAUACGGAUUCUCACAUGUUGCACCUCCUGCCUCUUCUGUGACACCCAGUCGAUUAGGCAGUGACAACGAUUUUUUAUCAUCAACUCGAGGGAUGAUGCUCUCCAGACAUUAAAACCUUUUCACCAGACACCAGGGCAGAUGCUUUCAUCUUCUCAUGACAUGGCCAUUUGUGGUUCUAUUUGCAGAUUGGGUCCGGCAUGCAGUUCCUUGUAGAGACUGUUUGGUGUCACAUUGCUGACUUCAUUUGUAUGUGCAGCUGUCCAGACUCAACAAAGCAUGGCCUAAUUUGUUGGUGCUAUUUCUUCCAGUGAUUCAUAUGGAUGUGAAUCCCUCAUGUUGGGAGAUAAUAGACUUUCCGAGUAAAAGAGCAUAAAUUUGACUAGAUCUUUCUGGCGAGGUUAGGGCUCCAAUCAGUGUCAUCACAAAUUGUUGGGUAGGGAAGCAGUAUACAGCAUUUUUGUACUGUGGAGCUAGUCCUUUUGUUUGAAUUUCUUGGAGAAAAACGUAAAGGGGAGAGGAGCUGAGUGCAAAAAGGAAGUUUUGUUGCAUCACCUGAACUUUGUUUCAAAUCAGAGUCUACUUUCUUAA